GACGAACGCUGGCGGCGUGCCUAAUACAUGCAAGUCGAACGCUUCUUUCCUCCCAAGUGCUUGCACUCAAUUGGAAAGAGGAGUGGCGGACGGGUGAGUAACACGUGGGUAACCUACCCAUCAGAGGGGGAUAACACUUGGAAACAGGUGCUAAUACCGCAUAACAGUUUAUGCCGCAUGGCAUAAGAGUGAAAGGCGCUUUCGGGUGUCGCUGAUGGAUGGACCCGCGGUGCAUUAGCUAGUUGGUGAGGUAACGGCUCACCAAGGCCACGAUGCAUAGCCGACCUGAGAGGGUGAUCGGCCACACUGGGACUGAGACACGGCCCAGACUCCUACGGGAGGCAGCAGUAGGGAAUCUUCGGCAAUGGACGAAAGUCUGACCGAGCAACGCUGCGUGAGUGAAGAAGGUUUUCGGAUCGUAAAACUCUGUUGUUAGAGAAGAACAAGGACGUUAGUAACUGAACGUCCCCUGACGGUAUCUAACCAGAAAGCCACGGCUAACUACGUGCCAGCAGCCGCGGUAAUACGUAGGUGGCAAGCGUUGUCCGGAUUUAUUGGGCGUAAAGCGAGCGCAGGCGGUUUCUUAAGUCUGAUGUGAAAGCCCCCGGCUCAACCGGGGAGGGUCAUUGGAAACUGGGAGACUUGAGUGCAGAAGAGGAGAGUGGAAUUCCAUGUGUAGCGGUGAAAUGCGUAGAUAUAUGGAGGAACACCAGUGGCGAAGGCGGCUCUCUGGUCU
rnacentral:rRNA from 1 species